rnacentral:rRNA from 1 species
GUAGUCAUAUGCUUGUCUCAAAGAUUAAGCCAUGCAUGUCUAAGUAUAAGCAAUCAUACUGUGAAACUGCGAAUGGCUCAUUAAACCAGUUAUAGUUUAUUUGAUAGUACCUUUACCUGGAUAACUGUAGUAAUUCUAGAGCUAAUACAUGCUAAAAACCCCGACUUCGGGAGGGGUGUAUUUAUUAGAUAAAAAACCAAUGCCGUUCGGGGCUCCUUGGUGAUUCAUAAUAACUUAAACGAAUCGCAUGGCCUUGCGCCGGCGAUGGUUCAUUCAAAUUUCUGCCCUAUCAACUUUCGAUGGUAAGGUAGUGGCUUACCAUGGUUUCAACGGGUAACGGGGAAUA